CCCUUAGAUGUUCUGGGCUGCACGCGCGCUACACUGAUGCACUCAACGAGUUUACGAGCUUGUCCGAGAGGAUUGGCUAAUCUUUUUAAAAUGCAUCGUGAUGGGGAUAGAUUAUUGCAAUUAUUAAUCUUCAACGAGGAAUUCCUAGUAAGCGCGAGUCAUCAGCUCGUGCUGAUUACGUCCCUGCCCUUUGUACACACCGCCCGUCGCUCCUACCGAUUGAGUGCUCAGGUGAAUAAUUCGGACUGCAGCAGUGUUUGGAUCCCGAACGCUGCAGCGGAAAGUUUAGUGAACCUUNUNACUUAANGGAAGGAGAANUCGUANCA
rnacentral:rRNA from 1 species